CACGUAGGGUCCGAGCGUUGUCCGGAAUUACUGGGCGUAAAGAGUUCGUAGGCGGUUUGUCGCGUCGUUUUGUGAAAACCAGCAGCUCAACUGCUGGCUUGCAGGCGAUACGGGCAGACUUGAGUACUGCAGGGGAGACUGGAAUUCCUGGUGUAGCGGUGAAAUGCGCAGAUAUCAGGAGGAACACCGGUGGCGAAGGGCGG
rnacentral:rRNA from 1 species